rnacentral:rRNA from 1 species
CGUGAGUGACCUGCCCGGCAGUGGGGAAUAACAGUGAGAAAUCAUUGCUAAUACCGCAUACCUUACAAGUGCUUCAUGGUACCUGUAAGAAAGACGGCCUUCGUGCUGUCGCUGUUGGAUGACUCGCGUCUGAUUAGCCAGUUGGUGGGGUAACGGCCUACCAAAGCAAUGAUCAGUAGCCGGCCUGAGAGGGUGAACGGCCACAUUGGGACUGAGACACGGCCCAAACUCCUACGGGAGGCAGCAGCC